GCACACACAGGCUGGCUGGUGUGUGUGUGCCUGCGCGCACGCAUCCUGUUCAGGACCCGGGCGGGCAGUCCCAUCCCCAAGCCCGCGCCUCCAGGAUGCGUGCGGGAUGUUUUGGAGAUUCUUCAGACUGGCAGGUUGUAAUUUUGGAAUCUUCUUUGUGGAAACCGUCAGGAAACACUGACAUGUGUUUUCACCCAGCAGCAGGCGAAAGGGCUUGGAUGUGGAAUAAGAAUAGCUGGCAGAUGAUUGAGCUAUAGGCUCCAGAGGAAAGGUACACUCCAGACCAGCUCCAGAGAACGAGAGAAGACUUCCCGGAGGAGACGGUGCUAAAUCCGAAGGGACCAUUAAGGAUGACUAGCGGGAUAUUGAUGAAGCUUAAGGUCUCAUGCCCAGGAUGCUUUCUUAUAGGCCAAAUGGUAUCACUCCAUUCUACUGGUGUCAGCUGCUUGAAAUAGUGUAGACACAGAGAAUUCUGGGACCCGUGUCGCUCAGAAACAAUGUCAAAGUCCUGGCUGAAGGUAUCUACAUUACCCACGAAUUGCUGUAUAUGAGUGGAAUGUACAAGCAUGGAUGCAACAGCAAGAGAACUAAAUUUGUUUUGUGCUUCAAA
rnacentral:lncRNA from 1 species